rnacentral:rRNA from 1 species
CACGUAGGGCGCAAGCGUUGUCCGGAAUUAUUGGGCGUAAAGAGCUCGUAGGCGGCUUGUCGCGUCGACUGUGAAAUCUCAGGGCUCAACUCUGACAUUGCAGUCGAUACGGGCAGGCUAGAGUUCGGUAGGGGAGACUGGAAUUCCUGGUGUAGCGGUGAAAUGCGCAGAUAUCAGGAGGAACACCGGUGGCGAAGGCGGGUCUCUGGGCCGAUACUGACGUGAGGAGCGAAGCGUGGGGAGCGAACAGG